AUUGAACGCUGGCGGCAUGCUUUACACAUGCAAGUCGAACGGCAGCACAGCAGAGGUAACUCUGUGGGUGGCGAGUGGCGAACGGGUGAGUAAUACAUCGGAACGUACCCUGUUGUGGGGGAUAACUACGCGAAAGCGUAGCUAAUACCGCAUACGCCCUGAGGGGGAAAGCGGGGGACCCUAAAUAGAGCGCACUGGGGAGUGCGUUGUAUUUAGGGCCUCGCGCAAUAGGAGCGGCCGAUGUCGGAUUAGCUAGUUGGUGAGGUAAAGGCUUACCAAGGCGACGAUCCGUAGCUGGUCUGAGAGGAUGAUCAGCCACACUGGGACUGAGACACGGCCCAGACUCCUACGGGAGGCAGCAGUGGGGAAUAUUGCACAAUGGCGCAAGCCUGAUGCAGCCAUGCCGCG
rnacentral:rRNA from 1 species